rnacentral:rRNA from 1 species
UACGUAGGCAGCGAGCGUUGUUCGGAGUUACUGGGCGUAAAGGGUGUGUAGGCGGUUGUUUAAGUUUGGUGUGAAAUCUCCCGGCUCAACUGGGAGGGUGCGCCGAAUACUGAAUGACUAGAGUGCGGGAGAGGAAAGUGGAAUUCCUGGUGUAGCGGUGAAAUGCGCAGAUAUCAGGAGGAACACCGGUGGCGAAGGCGGGUCUCUGGGCCGUAACUGACGCUGAGGAGCGAAAGCGUGGGUAGCGAACAGG